GGGGGGGCGCGGACAAUUCGCGAGGUUUUGGCCCUCUCAAAAGCGAAUUCCCCGGGGCUGAUUUUUCUUUUGGAAACACGUCAAGCCUCAAUUAAGAUGGAGAGACUUAAGUGGAGACUACAAAUGAAGGGUUUUGUGGGAGUUUCUAGUGAUGGUCGCAGUGGGGGGCUCGCUCUUUACUGGGAUGAGAAUCUGCAGGUGACAUUUUUAGAUUCUUGUGCACGGUAUAUUGAUGUGCAAAUUGUGGAUAGUGCUAAUGAUAAAUCUUGGAGGACUACCUUUGUUUAUGGUGAGCCAUGA
rnacentral:rRNA from 1 species